rnacentral:rRNA from 1 species
UACGUAGGCAGCAAACGUUGUUCGGAAUUACUGGGCGUAAAGAGUGUGUAGGCGGCUUUGUAAGUUCUGUGUGAAAUCUCCCGGCUCAACUGGGAGGGUGCGCCGAAUACUGCAAGGCUUGAGUACUGGAGAGGAUAGCGGAAUUCCUGGUGUAGCGGUGAAAUGCGUAGAUAUCAGGAGGAACAGCCGGCGGUGUAGACGGCUAGUCUGGACAGUAACUGACGCUGAGACACGAAAGCGUGGGGAGCAAACAGG